rnacentral:rRNA from 1 species
AGUGAACGCUGGCGGUAGGCCUAACACAUGCAAGUCGAACGGCCGCACAGUAAGAGCUUGCUCUUACGGGUGGCGAGUGGCGGACGGGUGAGGAAUACAUCGGAAUCUACUUUUUCGUGGGGGAUAACGUAGGGAAACUUACGCUAAUACCGCAUACGACCUACGGGUGAAAGCAGGGGAUCUUCGGACCUUGCGCGAUUGAAUGAGCCGAUGUCGGAUUAGCUAGUUGGCGGGGUAAAGGCCCACCAAGGCGACGAUCCGUAGCUGGUCUGAGAGGAUGAUCAGCCACACUGGAACUGAGGCACGGUCCAGACUCCUACGGGAGGCAGCAGUGGGGAAUAUUGGACAAUGGGCGCAAGCCUGAUCCAGCCAUACCGCGUGGGUGAAGAAGGCCUUCGGGUUGUAAAGCCCUUUUGUUGGGAAAGAAAAGCAGCAGGUUAAUACCCCGCUGUUCUGACGGUACCCAAAGAAUAAGCACCGGCUAACUUCGUG